AGAAUCAACGCUGGCGGCGUGCCUAACACAUGCAAGUCGAACGAGAAAGUGGAGCAAUCCAUGAGUAAAGUGGCGCACGGGUGAGUAACACGUGACUAACCUACCCUUGAGUGGGGAAUAACUUCGGGAAACCGAGGCUAAUACUGCAUAACACCUACGGGUCAAAGGAGCAAUUCGCUUAAGGAGGGGGUCGCGGCAGAUUAGUUAGUUGGCAGGGUAAUGGCCUACCAAGACGGUGAUCUGUA
rnacentral:rRNA from 1 species